AGUGAACGCUGGCGGUAGGCCUAACACAUGCAAGUCGAACGGCAGCACAGUAAGAGCUUGCUCUUACGGGUGGCGAGUGGCGGACGGGUGAGGAAUACAGCGGAAUCUACUUUUUCGUGGGGGAUAACGUAGGGAAACUUACGCUAAAACCGCAUACGACCUACGGGUGAAAGCAGGGGAUCUUCGGACCUUGCGCGAGUGAAUGAGCCGAUGUCGGAUUAGCUAGUUGGCGGGGUAAAGGCCCACCAAGGCGACGAUCCGUAGCUGGUCUGAGAGGAUGAUCAGCCACACUGGAACUGAGACACGGUCCAGACUCCUACGGGAGGCAGCAGUGGGGAAUAUUGGACAAUGGGCGCAAGCCUGAUCCAGCCAUACCGCGUGGGUGAAGAAGGCCUUCGGGUUGUAAAGCCCUUUUGUUGGGAAAGAAAAGCAGCAGGUUAAUACCCCGCUGUUCUGACGUUACCCAAAGAAUAAGCACCGGCUAACUUCGUG
rnacentral:rRNA from 1 species